AGUUUUCUUGCGUGCUUUUUCUUGUUCUUGCAAUUGCUCAUGCAAGUGCAAGAAAUACGCCUAAAGAAACUGCAGGUCUCGAUGAUCAAAAGAAUGUGGUUGUAUUUGGCGGUUUAGGUGGCUUCGCUGGUGUUGGUGGUGGUAUUGGAGGUGGUAUUGGUGGUGGUCUCGGUGGUGGUAUUGGAGGUGGGCUGCCUGAUCUCGGUGGCACAGGCGGUGGGAUUGGUGGAUUAGGUGGUUUGGGAGGAGAUACAGGGAGCGGUGGAGGUCUUGGUGGUGCUAUUGGUGGUGGUGGGAUUGGCGGUGGUCAAGGUGGUUGUGCUGAUGGUGGUGCUGGCUCUAUCCUUAACCCUUGAUUCCAUUUCAUGGGAUUUUUUAUGUUUAGUGUUUCUGUUGCAUGCAGAUGCAGUUAGUACAUGUGUUUAGUUACUUUUCUGUUUUAUUCACUGUUGAUUUUUUUUUCCCUUUUCCUUUUUUUAGUAUUGUUCGCUGUUUUAUUGUUUUGGAAUUUUAUUAGUAAUAUUUGCCAUUUCUUUACUAAAAUAAUUAUCAAAUUACUUUCACAGUUUGUUCUUAAUUAAUUGUGGAUCAUAAAUAAUUUCAAUUUUACAACAAUGUCUUAACUAACAUAAUAAACAAUCUUAAUCUCGUAAGAGUGAAAAUAUAAAUUUAAUAUAGAGCAGCAGAAUUCUAAUAAAGACAAAACUCUUAUGCGCUAUGCUCAAAAGAGAGUUUAUUCACGCAAAAAAUGGUGAAACAACGGCUCCUAUAUAGUUUUACAACUAAAAUGAUUUAAUUUGAUAGUCAAUUCUGAUUAAAGGAUACGGGAUCUUUGCCAUUCCAUAUCACUCUUCAGAGGUAAAUGAUAUGGUUCUUGAAUUGUCUAAUUUUAGCAAGUUCAUUGGAACUACUAGUUAAUUAACAGUCAAUUCUGAUUAGAGAAUUUUAGAGACGUAUUAAUAUUAAGAUAUGUUUUCAAACGGUUUAAUUAAUGGAAAUAUAUUGUAUAUGUUUUCAAGUAAUUUUUACUCCAAAGAUUAAAGGAUCCAAAAUUUUAAAAUCAUAACUUUUAGAAAUAUUUAUUUAAAUAUUACUCAUAACCGGAUGUGAAUUGUUCUAUAUAUAUUAUUAAUUUGUUGUUGAGCUAAAAUGCCCAAUAUUUUAUUAGUUGCAAGAAGGACCGGCAACCCUCUAAUACUUCAAGAAUAAAAAUUUCAAAUACAUCAAAAAUGAAAAUAGUGAAAUAAAAAACAUAAUGAUGUGAUUUUAAAAUAAUAUCUAUUGAUAUAAAAAUAAUUGUUUUAACAUUAGAAUGCAUAUAUUAUUAUUGAUAUAUUUCUGAUAAAUGUAAUUUGAAUUUAAUGGAUGAUACGAUCAUUUUUAUAUUAUAGUAAACCGAGGAGAAGAUCCAUCUCCUACCUUUCCUUUCCUUCCAAUAAUAUACAUAUCAGAAAUGAAUCAGAUUCGUACAUUAAUUAUUAAUACAUUGGCUUGGCUUCCAACUACUUGUCAUUGUUCAAUGCCUGUGAAAUUUAAAACUUCUCUGCUGCUUUCAGACUUUCAGUUGGCAUGUCUUCAUCAUUUUCUUUUUUUUUUUUUCAAAAAAAAAAAUUUUAUUAUUAAAUUUUUUUAUAUAUUAAUUAAAAGUUCUUUGAGCAAGAGCCUAAGAUCGAGGUGUCUCUCAAAAUUUGAAAAUUUUCUAAAAUAUAGUACUAAAAAUAACAAAUAACAGGCUUAGCUUAAUGAAAUGUGAUACCUAUAAUAUAUAAAAUAAAAAAAAAACCAAAUAACAUUUUUUUGGGAAAAAAAAAAGGAAAUUCGAAGGAUACAUAUUAAGGGUUAAAUAAAAAGAUUGGUAAUAAUAAAGUAAUUAGGUUAAUAGACUUUCUUGCUGUAGCUUAUUAUGAAAAAAAAUAAUUGAUAUAAUUGAAUUUUUAAUUUUUUUUUUAAUUCAUUGGAGGUUUUUAUAGGCCGAAAUAAUAUUGCAGGUUACAAAAAGGGGUAGCCCUUUCCUUGACUCACCAAAUUGGUGAAAACAACUAUAGUCGAGAGAAUUCGAACUCGAAAUCAAUCAAAUCACCACCUGAUCGGCACAAUUGAACUUUUAAUUGAAAUAUAUAAUUAACUUGAUUUGAUAUUAUAUGAAGUGUUAUUGCAUGAUAUUAUUAAUUUUUAGAAUCUUAAUUAUUGAAUAUUUAAAUUUGUAGUAUGAGAAAUUAUCAUAUUCACAUAUAUAUUUUAUCUUCCAUUUCUUUGUCUGUGUUACUUGUCGCAGCAGGAAGCACCAAUGCAUGGCUCACAAUCUGCCACUAAUUUUCCCUCUGCUAAAUUAUAAAUGCCAUUAAUUCUGGCUGUUGAUCUCCCCGUAACAUGUACUAAAGAAAAAAAAAAAAAAAAAACUCACUUUACAAGAAAAAAAGGAUUAAUCAUGGAUAUACCAUUUACUUGUAUUUAACUCCAUUUACUGCUUUCAACCAUUCCAUACUGCUUCAUUUGCCGCUCCUUUUGCCUUUAAAAAGGGCUUCACAAAAACACUUUGAGAUAUCCCUAGAGAAACAGAGGAGAGAGACAGAGAAAGAUGGCUAGGUGGUGUCUUAGUGUUAUGGUUGUGCUUGCUUUAGUAGCUGUGCAAACUAGUGCUAGAAACGUUCCUAAAGUUGAAAAUAUGGCUACUACCAAAACUAAUGUGCCUAGUAAUAAUGCUGGUCUAAAUGACCAAAAGAACUUCCUCACCUACGGUGGUGUUGGUGGCUACAGUGGUCUUGGUGGUAAUGGUCUUCCAUUCGGCGGGGUUGGAGGACUUGGUGGAGUCACUGGCCUAGGUGGCACUGCCGGCAUUGGUGGGUUUGGUGGAGUUGGUGGUGGAAGUGGUCUUGGUGGCCUUGGUGGCUUGGGUGGUGGUGUUGGUGGUUUGGGUGGCGUUGGCGGUGGCGGUGGCGUUGGCGGCGGUGUUGGCGGUGGCGUUGGCGGAGGCGUUGGCAGUGGAACUGGCGUUCUUCCUUAUCCAUGAAAAUAUUGAUCUCAUUUCUGGUUUAUAGCCAGGGUUUAUGAAGAACUCUAUUUUUAUGCAUGGUUAUUAAGUUGGUUGUGUUUGAGGGUUUAUGUAAUGGUUUAAUUUUAAUUACUUUAUGUUUUGCUUGUUUAUUAGGGUUAGUUGGGUGUGUCUCUUUACUUUGAGUUCGAGAUUUUCAUUGUCAUGUUUAUGUUUGAGUGGAUCAUAGUUACAGAAACUUGAGUUUAAUUAAUGAGUUCAUGUUUAUUAUAUUGUGUUCGUGUUUAAUUUUUUUUGGUUCAGCUAAUUUUCAUUUUAAGAUACAUUUUGAUAUGAUUAAAAACAAC
rnacentral:lncRNA from 1 species